rnacentral:lncRNA from 1 species
UGCUAUCAAAUAAGUCAAGACUCUUCACAUGGACAUUUCAAAUUUAAUUACUUUGAAACUUAGUAGUCUAGAUAGUUUUAAUUAAAUUUGUAAACAAUGGGUCAAUUUUUGGUAAAAUAGUUUAGGCCCAAAAUGUUAGGAUAGACACAUGGCACCUAGGGUUUUGCAAAGAGGGUGGACCCCACCCUAUUUUUGACACACUUUGUCCUAGGGAAAAAGGGCAGCCGUCACACUUGAGACAUAUGCUCUCGGCAGAUUGAAUUUUGGAAGGAGGCUAGUUGCUGCAACGUUUUUUUGGGUACCAUGUUGAUGCUAUGGGAUGUUGGGUAAAUUUGGUUGAAUGAAGGGCACGGUCCAGCANCUACUUUGAUUUACUUGGUUUGCUUUGUAUUUUUUUUUGUUCUCUUUAAGAGUUGAGUUUUUGAAUGUUUGGAAUUGCUGCAGCCAACAUCUUUCUAUUUGAGUUUUAUUUUGCAAUUGCUGCAACCUUUUUUUCAUUGCAUGUUGAUGGAUUAUAAAGGCACACGGUCAAGGUUUUGUUUCAGCACUUUUGCAUUGAAUGCUAUUUUAUUCUCUUGUUGCCAACGUUAUCACAGCCUAGGGAAUCGUUUAUUUUAAAGUUUCAUUCUUUGCUUUUGGAAGAGGAACACAAGGAGGGGCAUUUAUUGUUCUCUAAAUUAGAAAGCUUGCGGUGGGUGCUGCAAUGUAAUCCACACUUCUUUUUUUUUUUUAUUAUUUUUGGAAGCUUAAACCGAGUAGUGGAGUCUUAGCCUGGAUGGAGCACAUCUAAUUUUGUUGGGUUUAGAAAUAAUGAAACGGUGAUGGAAGCUUUUAGAAUUGAAAGAGCAGGNCACGGCCAAGGUUAAAUUUUAGGCUAAGUGCAAUUUUAAAUUUACUUGGUAGAUGCCAUAGGUUAAUUUGGUUAAUUGCUAAAUGUAAUUUGUGUUGGUUGUUUCUUUUGCUUUAAUUUAAUUUUACAUAGUAGGUUGAGUUGCCUUUCAUCUCUUUAAUUUNGUGUUGCAUUCUAAUAGUUUUAACUGUGCUUAGAUAUUUGUUUGCUCUAGUAUUGGGUUUAGCAUUUUCACUCUCUGGACUCGAUUUUAAAAAAAUAACUGCAACCACACCAGAGCUCCAAAUGCUACGUUUUAUAUAUCAAAUGAAAUAUAAUUGAGUCUACUUUCCAGGAAAAAAAAC